rnacentral:miRNA from 1 species
AAUGCCCCUAAAAAUCCUUA